GGGACUUGUCCUGAGCGAGGUCACGCGAAAGCGGGACCGAGUCGAAUGGAUAGCCUGUAACUCGGGCCGGAUGGAAAGAUCUUUAAAAGUACCUAUAGGUUUUUAAAUAUCUUGAAAUCUAGGGAAAGUGUCACAGAGACAAUACCGUCCCGCAUCAGCGGGACAAGGGUGAAAAGUGAGGGCCUAAGAAUCCUCUCUCUACAUUGGUAACAGUGCGGAGUGAAAAACCCUAUCCGGUGCAAGAUCAAAUAGAUCCCGCAAACGCGGGAUGGGUUGAUUGCUAGAUCCCGCGUCUGCGGGACAAGAUAGAUAAUCAUCACCCCCACACCAUCUGUCGAAAUAGGUUGGUUAGUUUGAACAAUGGAAUCAAAUUUAGCUAAUCGCACUAGGACUUACAAAAAUCAUUACGACAAAUGGUGUGGGGGGACAGAAUUCGGCUUAUAGACUAAACUCAAGG
rnacentral:RNase_P_RNA from 1 species